rnacentral:lncRNA from 1 species
GAGCCACAGGGGUUUUAGGAGCAUCUUUCAUUCUAGUGUUUGGUCUUUGACCCCGGUUCCCAACAAACAGCUCCUACUCCCUUGGAAUUUAUUGGGUGAUGGGAGUGUCUUGUUCUAAUGAAGCAACUCUAAUGGGCUCCUGGACGGGGCUGGUCACCAGAAAGACCAGGUUAUGCUGAGAAGCUUGAAACCGUCAGUCCCCCGCCACCCCAUCCUCUGGGAAGGGAAGAGGAGCUGGAGAUCAUGCCCAUGUGAUGAGGCCUCCGUCAAAGUCCUUGCACUCCGGGAUGUGGCUGCCGGACAUGCGGAGGCGCUGGGAGAGCGGCACACCUGGAGAGGGCGUGGAAGCUCCAACACCCCACCUCCACACCGCGUGCUAUGCAUCUCUCCCGUCCAGCUGCUCCUGGGUUUCAGUCUUUCCUAAUGAACAGCGUAAGGUGUGUCGCUUUCCAGCAGAGGCGCUGACACAGAAAGGAGUGACCUCUCCAACCUUCCAUAAAUCAUCAGAACACUGCAGAGUGACAGUGGGAACUCCAGAGAUUAAACACGGAGGUGAGGCUGGCCAGGGAUCACAAGAGGCCCAACACCCAGACAGUACGGAACCUGGGUGGGCACCUCGUCCGUUUUGUCAUCCACAGACCAGAGGCUUCUGCACUUCUGAUGACUCCAUCCAGAUCUCCAGCUUGUCCUGUGGACCCAUCCAUGCAGAAGCAGACUCGGCAGGCACAAGGACCAUUUUCCACACCCCUAUGAUUGCACCUCAUCCAAUCAGCAGCACCCACUCCCUAGUCCCCAGCUCCCUCCAGAUUAUCCUUGAAAAACCCUAGCCUCUGAAUUUUGGGGGAGAUUGACUUAAGUAAUAAAAUUCCAGUCUCCCACUUAGCCAGCUCUGUGUGAACUAAACUCUUUCUCUAUUGCAAUUCCCAUCUUGGUAAGUCAGCUCCAUCUGGGCAGCGGGCAAGGUGAAUCCAGUGGGCGGUCACAGUGACGCCUUUGCUUUCUGAUGGUUUAAUGUACACAAACUUUGUUUCAUGCAGAAAAUUAUGAAAAGUAUUGUAUUAAAUUAACUUCAGGCUAUGUGUAUAAGGUCUAUAUAAAACAAACAAAUUUUGUACUUUGACUUAGGUCCCAGCCCCAAGAUAUC